CCCAUUUCUUCUUUUCUUUCAAUAUGUUUUCUCUUCUUUUAUCCAUCUAAAAGAAGACUCCACUGAUACAAAAACUUGCUUCCUCGACUAAUUUCUCACUGAUAUAAGGAGUAAGAAAAGGAGGAUGUGAUACAAGUUAAUGGAUACAAUCUUUCGAUCUUCUGAUUUGAAAAAGAAAAAGAAAUGAAAUUGAAAUGGUGGUAGCAUUUUUAAAUCUGAAGAAAGAAAAACAACGAGGCGGUGGCUGUAGUGGCAGAGAUGGUGGUCAUCAUCCAAAAGAGGACGAAAAAAUGACGAGGUGGCAGCGGUGAUGGAAAUUAAAAAUGACGAUGGUGAAGUGACUGGAGAAAAAAGAGGAAGGAGAAGAGUGGACGGCGGCAGCGGCGGGGUUGGUGGUCGAUAGUGGCAAAGUAAGAUGAAGAAGAAGAUAAAAUAAAAAUUAAAAAGGAAAUGCUUAAUUAGAUGACCUUCCUCA